CUGGCUCAUUUCUCUUCUUAUUUUAUUAUUUCCCUCACGCCUUUGUUGCUGCUCUCUCCACCCGUCAGUCUCUCUCUAUUAUUUUUCCAUUUUCUAUCCCCCGCACCGUUUUUUUCUGUGCCUCUCCUUGGAUUCCUCUUCUUUCCAGCUGCAAAGCAACUUCCUGUUGUUUUCAGAAGUGAAGAAUAUGGGAGUCAACGAGGUAAAAAAAAUAUAAAUCAUGAUGCUCUCUUGCUCCCUCAUUGACCGACUCUCUCCAUUUCUUUUGUUUAUGCCGUGACAUAAUUCUACCAAUAAUCCAUGACAGAAUGAGAACGACUAAAGCAAUUUUUGACGAAUUUAUUAUUUAAAACUCAUUUGUGCUAUUUUUAUUUUCUUUGCAUAACAAAUCCUAUAAACACAAAAAUAACGUAAAUAGCUCAAAAAUGUAAGGAACUAACUAAGAAAAGACGAGUGAAUUUAAAGUAAAAAAAUAUAUAUAAAUAUGAUCCGAUCAAAUACCCCCACACUUAACUUUUGCUAGUCCUCGAGCAAAACAAAGAAAACAAGAACAAGAAGUAACAAGAAAAACAUUAGCUUCCCCCUAUGUGACCCUCAUGAAUUUCAUUUAAGAAAACAAAUCAUCAAGAACCAUAGCUAGCACCAAACACGUUAAUCCAAGUUCAUCUUCCUAAUUCAAAUAUUAGCAGUAAUCUUUGAAUCAUCCUUGAAGUGUAGUGUGUGAGAUAGCCAUGCUAAUGCAAUUUCAAGUUUUUAUUUUUAAAAUCAUCAUAUGCAAACUAGCGACCUUCUCACUGAAUAUUCACUCAAUCACACAUGUGUUUAGUUUUAAUGUGUUUCGCUCAAAGAAUCAAAUGUGAAAUUUCUACUAUAAGCUUGCAUAAAGAUCUCAUCUCCACAAUCAUAAUUGCAAAACUUAAAUCAAGAGGACUUUUAUUGGAUGUAAUGAGGUUUAGGGAGAGGGUUAUUGAAAUGAAAGAAUAGGAAAACACAAGUUCCAAGCUACAUUGCAAGCAAUUCUUUUCUUUAGAUUCAUAAAAACUCAAGCUCUCCAACGAUUCUUCUAACACCUCCAACCACACCCUUAACUGAAACUUUAAAAACUUUUUAUUUUCUUUUUAUACAAUCUUUAUCUUUUUUUUUUUUUUUUUUUUUUUUUUUUUUUUUAAUUCACAAACAUGAAAUACCCCCACACUUAUUCUUUUGCCAAACAUCUUCACAGUAUUUCACAAACGUUUCUCAUAAGACAAUCUCGCAUUGCUCGCUUGGAAAGGGUAAGGAAAAAUGUUUCAGGUAUAA
rnacentral:lncRNA from 1 species